rnacentral:rRNA from 1 species
UGGGGAAUAUUGGACAAUGGGCGCAAGCCUGAUCCAGCCAUGCCGCGUGAGUGAUGAAGGCCCUAGGGUUGUAAAGCUCUUUCACCGGUGAAGAUAAUGACGGUAACCGGAGAAGAAGCCCCGGCUAACUUCGUGCCAGCAGCCGCGGUAAUACGAAGGGGGCUAGCGUUGUUCGGAUUUACUGGGCGUAAAGCGCACGUAGGCGGACUUUUAAGUCAGGGGUGAAAUCCCGGGGCUCAACCCCGGAACUGCCUUUGAUACCGGAAGUCUUGAGUAUGGUAGAGGUGAGUGGAAUUCCGAGUGUAGAGGUGAAAUUCGUAGAUAUUCGGAGGAACAUCAGUGGCGAAGGCGGCUCACUGGACCAUUACUGACGCUGAGGUGCGAAAGCGUGGGGAGCAAACAGGAUUAGAUACCCCCGUAGUCCCUGAGCGGGCUGGCAAGGCGCAU